GAUGAACGCUGGCGGCGUGCCUAAUACAUGCAAGUCGAGCGAACGGACGAGAAGCUUGCUUCUCUGAUGUUAGCGGCGGACGGGUGAGUAACACGUGGAUAACCUACCUAUAAGACUGGGAUAACUUCGGGAAACCGGAGCUAAUACCGGAUAAUAUUUUGAACCGCAUGGUUCAAAAGUGAAAGGCGGUCUUGCUGUCACUUAUAGAUGGAUCCGCGCUGCAUUAGCUAGUUGGUAAGGUAACGGCUUACCAAGGCAACGAUGCAUAGCCGACCUGAGAGGGUGAUCGGCUACACUGGAACUGAGACACGGUCCAGACUCCUACGGGAGGCAGCAGUAGGGAAUCUUCCGCAAUGGGCGAAAGCCUGACGGAGCAACGCCGCGUGAGUGAUGAAGGUCUUCGGAUCGUAAAACUCUGUUAUUAGGGAAGAACAUAUGUGUAAGUAACUGUGCACAUCUUGACGGUACCUAAUCAGAAAGCCACGGCUAACUACGUG
rnacentral:rRNA from 1 species